CCAACAGGGAUUGCCUCAGUAGCGGCGAGUGAAGCGGCAAAAGCUCAAAUUUGAAAUCUGGCGUCUUUGGCGUCCGAGUUGUAAUUUGAAGAAGGUAUCUUUGGGCCCGGCUCUUGUCUAUGUUCCUUGGAACAGGACGUCACAGAGGGUGAGAAUCCCGUGCGAUGAGAUGACCCGGGUCUGUGUAAAGUUCCUUCGACGAGUCGAGUUGUUUGGGAAUGCAGCUCUAAGUGGGUGGUAAAUUCCAUCUAAAGCUAAAUAUUGGCGAGAGACCGAUAGCGAACAAGUACAGUGAUGGAAAGAUGAAAAGAACUUUGAAAAGAGAGUGAAAAAGUACGUGAAAUUGUUGAAAGGGAAGGGCUUGAGAUCAGACUUGGUAUUUUGCAUGUUGCUCUCUCGGGGGCGGCCGCUGCGGUUUACCGGGCCAGCAUCGGUUUGGAGCGGCAGGAUAAUGGCGGAGGAAUGUGGCACGGCUUCUGCUGUGUGUUAUAGCCUCUGACGAUACUGCCAGCCUAGACCGAGGACUGCGGUUUUUACCUAGGAUGUUGGCAUAAUGAUCUUAAGUCGCCCGUCUUGAAACACGGACCAAGGAGUCUAACGUCUAUGCGAGUGUUUGGGUGUAAAACCCGUACGCGUAAUGAAAGUGAACGAAGGUGGGGGCCCAUUAGGGUGCACCAUCGACCGAUCCUGAUGUGUUCGGAUGGAUUUGAGUAAGAGCAUAGCUGUUGGGACCCGAAAGAUGGUGAACUAUGCCUGAAUAGGGUGAAGCCAGAGGAAACUCUGGUGGAGGCUCGUAGCGGUUCUGACGUGCAAAUCGAUCG
rnacentral:rRNA from 1 species